CCUACGGGAGGCAGCAGUGAGGAAUAUUGGUCAAUGGACGAGAGUCUGAACCAGCCAAGUAGCGUGAAGGAUGACUGCCCUUUGGGUUGUAAACUUCUUUUAUAUGGGACUAAAAUGUUCCACGUGUGGGAUUUUAUAUUUACCAUAUGAAUAAGGAUCGGCUAACUCCGUGCCAGCAGCCGCGGUAAUACGGAGGAGCCGACCGUUAUCCGGAUUUUUUGGGUUUAAAGGGAGCGUAGGUGGAUGGUUAAGUCAGUUGUGAAAGUUUGCGGCUCAACCGUUAAAUUGCAGUUGAAACUGGCAGUCUUGAGUACAGUAGAGGUGGGCGGAAUGUGUGGUGUAGCGGUGAAAUGCUUAGAUAUCACGAAGAACUCCGAUUGCGAAGGCAGCUCACUGGACUGCAACUGACACUGAGGCUCGAAAGUGUGGGUAUCAAACAGGAUUAGAUACCCGAGUAGUC
rnacentral:rRNA from 1 species